rnacentral:rRNA from 1 species
UACGUAGGCAGCAAGCGUUGUUCGGAAUUACUGGGCGUAAAGAGUGUGUAGGCGGUGCUCCAAGUCUGGUGUGAAAUCUCCCGGCUUAACUGGGAGGGUGCAUUAGAAACUGGAAUGCUAGAGGAUGGGAGAGGUAAGCGGAAUUCCUGGUGUAGCGGUGAAAUGCGUAGAUAUCAGGAGGAACACCUGUGGUGUAGACAGCUUACUGGACCAUUUCUGACGCUGAGACAUAACGAAGCGUGGGUAGCAAACAGG